GAUGAACGCUGACAGAAUGCUUAACACAUGCAAGUCUACUUGAUUCUACUUCGGUAGUUGAUGGUGGCGGACGGGUGAGUAACGCGUAAAGAAUCUGCCCUUUAGUUUGGGAUAACCGUUGGAAACGAAGGCUAAUAACGGCUAUUAUGGAGACGUCGCAUGGCGACUCCAUGAAAGCUAUAUGGGCUAGAGGAGGACUUUGCGUCCCAUUAGUUAGUUGGUGAGGUAAUGGCUCACCAAGACCGCGAUGGGUCGCCGGCCACAGAGGGUGACCGACCACAAGGAACGUGAGACACAGGCCGUACUCGUACGGGAGGCAGCAGGGUGGAAUAUUGGACAAUGGGCCACAAGCCUGAGCCAGCAAUGCUGUGUGCACGAUGAAGGUCUUCGGAUGGUAAAGUGCUUUCAGUAGGAAAGAAAAAAAUGACGGUACCUACAGAAGACGCGACGGCUAAAUAUGUGCCAGCAGCCGCCGUAAUAC
rnacentral:rRNA from 1 species